GCCUGGAUAGCUCAGUUGGUUAGAGCGUGGUGCUAAUAACACCAAGGUUGCAGGUUCGAUUCCUGUAUGGGAUG